rnacentral:rRNA from 1 species
AGAUUGAACGCUGGCGGCAGGCCUAACACAUGCAAGUCGAGCGGCAGCACGGGUACUUGUACCUGGUGGCGAGCGGCGGACGGGUGAGUAAUGCCUAGGAAUCUGCCUGAUAGUGGGGGAUAACGUUCGGAAACGGACGCUAAUACCGCAUACGUCCUACGGGAGAAAGUGGGGGAUCUUCGGACCUCACGCUAUCAGAUGAGCCUAGGUCGGAUUAGCUAGUUGGUAGGGUAAAGGCCUAACCAAGGCUAACGAUCCGUAACUGGUCUGAGAGGAUGAUCAGUCACACUGGAACUGAGACACGGUCCAGACUCCGUAGGAGCAGCAGGUAGGGAAUAUUGGAAC